GGGGCUGUAGCUCAGUAGUAGCGCGUCCGUUUCGCAUGCGGGAAGUCCGGAAUUUAAAUUCCCGCAUCUCCA
rnacentral:tRNA from 1 species